UAAAGUACACUCAUCGUGUGUGGGAUUUACACACAGUCUGAAACACUGCUGGAAAUUCCUACAGGCUGUUGGUGAGAGCAUGCCUAUGCCACCCUAAAACAGUAACUACACCAUUGAUAAGAUGCCAUUUACUUGUUGGACGCAGAUUGGAGGAAACCAUCCGGCGCAAACUCAAACAUGAAGAGAACUUUGUUUUCAAAGGUUUGCUUGCAGAUUUGGUCUUCACAUCUGAGCUCCUAAAAGAAUAAAGAUACAAAACAGGUCCCUUUUUUCAAGGAUGUUUGGGGAGGAACAAUGGGUUUGGCUGUGGACCGAAAAUACAAUGUGUGCAAGUUGAACUGUUUAAGUGUUCAGUCUGUCCACUGGAUGGUGCAAUCCUGCAGUGCUCGUGUGAAACGGCUUACAUUUUACUUCACAAGAAAAACUGCACUUCUCUCUGCUUUUCUCAGCUUGCAAAAGAAAUGUUUCAUCACUUUUUGGUUCAUGCAGCUUUUCAAAGCAGCAGGCGGCUUCCACCAGACCAAAGGCUACGAUUUCAAAUUGUUCUUUUUAUCUUCGUGGUGCUUUUCCUGACACCCCAGAUCUAUGUAUUGACAAGACCCAAGUCUUCCCGCUUCUGUGAAAAGCCACUUCUGAACAAUCUUAUAGCCAUUAUCGUGUUCUCCUUUAUGGCUACAGGGUUAGCUGUGACUCUUACUCUCACUGACCCUGUGCCCAAGAGUAUCAGGGCAGCUUACCACACAUUUGGAGUGCUUUCAUUUACCCAGGGACUUUGUACCAUCUUCCUGACCUUCACUGCCCACCAGUGUGAGAAGACCACUCCAGAGCUGUAUCUGGUUUCAAUGGUAUUUUCAUGGGCUUGCAUUAUAUCAACAGUGUUCUUCACAGUAAGAGGAUUCCUCUGGAUGAUCUACAGAAUGCAUCCAAACUGGUUCAGAGAAGCAGCAUGCCUCUAGGCUGAAAACUGGCCAGUUGACUAGCGAGGAGCUGGGCACUGCUGAAAUCGUGGCCAAACGGCUUCUCCAGAACAACUCUGAGCCAGGCUCCUGCCGGGGGCCGACAAGUGCUGUUGAUCUUAUCUGCUAUGUCAGCGUAGGCAAAGGCUGGAACAGACAUGUAAAACAACCUUCCUGCUUCAGUCAUUCCUUCCUGCUUCAACUGCUGCUGGAUCUGCUCACUGAGCUUCUCAUAGUCCUCCUUGCUCUUUAGCUGCAGGUGGAAAGAAACUGGAGUACUCCAAGAAAAAUCACAUAGUUAUGGGAAGAACAUGCAAAACUUCUCACUGUGAAGGACUGGAGGAAAGGAUGGACCAGGACUCCACUCGACUAUCUGUGCCACGCCAUUAAAAACAUAAACAUGCAAUCAAAGCUGUUAUCUGUGAUAAAAGGCAGCUAACAUAAUUUCAGAGCAGGUACCUAUUCAGCCUGUUAUUAUGGGAUAGCAGGGGGAUAUUGGCCAUGGCUGUUUCCAAAUUAUAUAUUCGUGAACAUUCAUAUAGUUUUUAUGGUUUUAUAUAACCCAAUAAACUAAAUAAUAAAACAUAUAGAAUAAUGUUUUUAUAAUAUAUGUAAAGCAUAACAUAUUAAGAUAUGCAAUGGAUAAACAGAACAAAAAGGAAAGUUCAUGAACACAUUAUGCACAAAUGCAAUACACUAUAAAAAGAGCAAACACGGUAACUUAGUGGUAAAUGUUCCUUGUACCUAGUUUCAUCUGGCAUCCCAAAAUAAAGUGAACACCUUAAACAAACAAAAACUGAUGUUCUGUUAAUCUGUUUUAAACUGACUAAUCUGGGUUCGAUUCCCAGAUAGAACGGUCCAGGUCCCUUCUGUGUAGAGUUUGCAUGUUCUCUCUGUGUCUGUGUGGGUUUCCUCCAGAUGCUCCAUUUCCUCC